GUUGGAGGAGGCGGGUGGUGCGUGGCGACCCUGCGUCACAGGUGGGUGCGUGACGGAGGAGGCGGGCGGGGUGUGGUGACCCUGCGUCACAGGUGGGUGCGUGACCAUGUAGGCGGGCGGUGCGUAGUGACCCCGCGUCACAAGUGGAUGCGUGACGGAGGAGGCUGCGGGGCGUGGUGCCCUCGCCUGGCUGCCCGCAGAGGAGGUUUUGCUGUCCACGCGCUCCCCGGUUGUUGUCCGGGACCUGAGCGGCUGUUCCGUGGCCGUGGGGACGCGCGACAAGCGCGCGGGCUUGGAGAAUGGGUUCCGCGCUGUCCCGGCUGGGAGGCCUCCCAGCCGGGAAGCACAGUCCUGCGCUUCCGCCCAGUGUUCGUUGCCCCGGCAUGUUUACAACCCCCAUUUUCUACCCUGGUGCAAUACACAGGACCAUGAAUUUGCCAUCGUAGCCACUUCCCGUGUCCGUUCCUAACGUGGCGCCUUCCCUCUCCAGCUGUCCUGCAGCGCCGAGCACGCGCCCUCCUUCCCGGGAGUGCCUAGCCCCGCUGUGCUGGGGUGGCCUAACCCCAUCACCGGGGUGACCCCUCAGGGUCCUGAGCCAGCAGGUGCUGCCGGACUCCCCGGGCCUGCCUGCCGGUCCGCGGUACCAUCAGGGCAUCUCAGGGCAGAUGGGGGCGAUGCUACCCGACGGACCCUGGGGGUCUGGGGACCCCCGUGGCCGUGACGACAGGGUUCGGGUGCUACUGCGAGCUGCCCAACGCCUGCAGAAACACGGGACAGCCCCCCACUCACUGAACCCCGACGGGGAAGCUGAGAACCCGUGGUGAAGCCCACUCACAUUUUGUGCUCAGUGUCCGUGUGCGGAGUCAGCCGCUGCGUGCACAGAAAGUGCUCCUGCCCAGAACAGUCACUUGGGCUGUCUCCACCGCUGCAGGAAGUCCCGGGGACAACGCCAGAUGUCACCUGCGGUCCAGGGACCCGCAGAUUGGAAGAAGUUGCAGGCAUGCUUUGUGCAGCGAGCAGUCGGGUGCCUACUGCUUCUAUCCGAGCUGUGCGCGGAUGCCACGCGGUAGGGAUCCUCAUUGCCUGUUCUUUGAUGGGGAGAGACAGGCAGGCUCAUGGCCCAGAGGUGUCCUGUGGUCGGACCCACAGUUGGCUUCAGCAGCUGACCGUCCACUCGGACUUGCCGUUAGUCCCGUGCUCGGCAGCCCGGCCUCCCGUCUGCACCUUCAGAGCCCCAGGCCACACUCCUGAGUGGGACGGCAGUGCUACCUUUCUCCCCCACCAGAGGAUUAAACUUCCUGCCUCCUUCGUCCUCAAACCUUGUCCUGGUCAUUUGGAUGUGGCACCGUUAACAAGGACGAACUUUCAGUAGCACCAGGUCACAGUCGGACCUUCGAAAGACUGCAAGGUCCAAGGAGGAGGGAAGAACGGGGGUGGAGGUACCCCCCCAUCACCCCCACCCCAGCGAGCCAGCCGGGGACAUGCAACCCCAAGGGCUGGUCUUGCCCACAUCCUAGAGCCACCCUGUGGAUCUAGCUGGAGUCCCGCCGAGCACUGCUGGCCAGGUGGUGAGUCUGGCUGACUGGCAGCCCCUGGCACAGGGCUUCCCCAUAGACAUAGGCUGCUGGGGUAGCCAAGAGAACAUCGACAGCCCUGUGAAGUCCGCAGAGCAGCAUGUAGGAAGAAAAGCUAGACUCCUGCAGUGAAUACCAUGAACUCCAUCACACCUGAGAAAACUAAUAGCUCUCCAGCCUCAGUCCCGCGACCUGGGCCCUCACAUCUCCCCUUUCCCCGUCUCACGUGGUCUCAGGAUUCUGGAAACACUGCUGUAAGACAUUUUAGGGGCAGCUGUCUGUUCUGCCCACAGGCUGACCAGUCCCUCUGCGGUGCCCAGGGAGGGGACCUCUGAGGCGGCAGUGGUGAUCAGAACUGAAGGCUAGGGGCCGGCACUGUGGCGUAGCGGGUAAAGCCAUGUGGGCGCCGGUGUGAGUCCCGGCUGCUCCGAUGCUGAUCUGGCUCUCUGCUGUGACCUGGGAAAGCAGCAGAAGAUGGCCCAAGCCCUUGGGCCCCUGCACCCACAUGGGAGACCUGGAGAAGCUCCUGGCUUCGCAUCAGCACAGCUCCAGCUGUUGCAGCCAUCGGGGGAGUGAACCUGUGGAUGGAAGCUCUCUCUCUCUCUGCCUCUGCCUCUCUGUAACUCUGCCUUUCAAAUAGAUAAAUAUAUCUUAAAAAAAAAAAAACCUGGAGGAUGGACAGGUGUUGCCUGGAGAGGACACACAGGCAAACUCCAGUCAAAGCAGAGGACCCAAUGCCCGGGCAGCAGCCUAGAGAGGGAGGGGCUGAGGGCAGGUGGCAGAGUGCUGUGAGCUGAAACUGGGAACAGGGCAGCAGGGGACUCGGAAGAUGGCCAGGAGGCUGUACCAAAGCUGGCCCUGGGCUCCAUGGGUGACUGGCAGGUCAGGGAGGCACUUGGGGGAUAGGAAGCAGGUGCUGGGGGGUGGGACUGCAAGGGUGGUGGUGAUGGGAGGUGGGGAGAGGGGCCAAGCCAGGACCAGCUUCCUGGCCAAGGGGCAAGGAUGGACAGUCACCACCAGCCGGGUGCCCCUGGGAGGAGAAAGUGCAGACCAGGGCAUCACUGCCCCAGGGGCUGCCCGGCUCCCGCAAACGCUAAAGCUGAAUGCCUUUCCUCCCAUCCUGAUGCAGCUGCAGGUUCAGCACGGAGAGGGAAAACCAAGUCAGACCGCGGAGCGAUUCCCAGGACGUGCAGUUGUUCCGUGGACCCCAGGGUGUGACUCAGCUGCCCGCUCCAGGCAUGGACUUGAGGUGCCUUAGGGAGGCGAGUAAGCUGGCUCCUGGUGUGGUCCUGCUGGUGAGGAGCCAGGGCAGUGGACGGACCGCCAGGGGUGUGUGCUGGAGAGGAACGGUGGAGAGAGGUGGCACAGACGGGACAGGGCAGAUGGUGCUGCCAGGUGUGGGGACAUCACACCCUCGGAAUGCAAGAAGGGAGUGCAGUGUCACCUUGAAACCUGAGCUCCGGCUUCCUUGAAGCCCAGGGGCGGGUGUACUUCACGCUGACUGGCCAAGGCUCCUCCCUACACAGCCGGGCUCCCAAGGGUGUGGGGCUGAGCCUGCAGGCACCCUCUCGAGCCCCAAGCUUGCUGACCUUCCGCGGUGGGAGUGGGUGCCCAGCAGGCCCCUAGCUCUGAGGACAGAGUCGUCUUCUCUGAGCCAAGUCUGCCAUGCUGGCUGCCCCUCCACUGAGCAGAGCAGGGUGCAGGGCCCUGGGGGAGACCCACGGACUCGAAGGCUCGGUAUUUCCACAGUCACGCUUUCUCUUGCCCACCCUCCCCAACAUCUGCCUGGAAAGCCAGGUGUGCACACCGAGCCCCUUCCCGGAACCUCGGUCAAUAUGGGUCUACCCCUCGGGCAGCGGGUGCCCGGGAUUCCAGAACACAGAGAUCCUGAGUGCAGCUCAUGUUGUAGCGAUGGUGUUGGUGAGUUCCAGGAGCCUGCUGAGAGGGAUGGCAGGCCUCACGCCUGCCAUCAGCAAUCAGGAGGCCCUGGACGCUCCAGGAGCAGAGCCCCAGGACCUGCCCCGCCGCCCCCGAUGGACUCAGUGGUUCCUCCCACCCCCCGCAGCUGCCCCUCUUCUUCAAAGACCCCUUUUGCUGGCUCCUUGGAAGGAACAGCACACGUGUGACCCAGAGACCACUCUUCCCCCAAGACCGCGGUUUCUCUCACCAACGCUUGUCUCUGAUGAGUUGGCUGCCCGGCGGCGAGCAGCAGGGGCCUGACGAUCUUGUCCAGUAACAGGAGGAGGGCCAGCACUGGGCCCCGACAAGGAGCACUUCCCUGGGCAUGAUGCUGGAGAGACCCCACACCCUGCAGGCUAGGGGUGAGCGGCCAGUGUCCAGCUCUGAGCUACAGCAGGGGGAAAUGCCGCGGGCCAUGGCCCUGCCAACAGUGCUCUGGACGGCUGAGUGACGAGGCCAUGGCCCGCGGCAUGGGUGGCUGGGUGACCGCUGGCUGUCCCGUGCAGCUCCCUGCCUGCAGUGGCACUCUGUGUGCUGCCCAGGUGGACGGACAGCUGUUUUCCACCAGUGACCAGGCUCCCAGCUGGUGAACGGAUGAGCGGAGAGUUCAAGGCACAAACAGAAGUUCACAUCGCGCUGAGAUCUGGAACUUGCCGCCAGCAAGGGCCCCCCUCCCGUGCUUUCACGCGUCCGUUCACGGGUGUGCCCGGGUGUCGCCUGUGCAGGCUUCUUCCAGGCGCCAGAGUCCAGAGCAAGCCACUCCCGGCCUUGUCUCCCUGGGGUUUCCUCUUUGAAGAGAUCACCUGUAGCUGCUUCUCAAACCUGAAAGCCAGACUGGUGUCAGUCCCACCUGUGUGUGUGCGCGGUCCAGAGCCAGGAGCCCGUUGCAGAUGGCUUGCAGUUAGUUCAUACCUCCCCGAAGUAAUUAGUAUUUAAAUAAUACACACCUUACGGUCAUUAAAGCAGAAUUAAAAAUAAAGGGUUGUAACAGUCCUGGAGAACAAGGGAACUUGAGUAAUGGGAGUUUGUUGUUUACACGAAUCAGUGUUGCAAGUUUGGUGUUAGACCCCCCCUAAGGGGAGGGAGUGACGCUUGGGGAGCCGGACUGCGAAAUGCACCCUCCAGCCAACGUUCGCCCGCCACCAGGCAGUGGCAUGAGCUGAAUCCAGCACAGCCUCUGCUUCAGAGACCUCCCCUUGAGAAUAGAGAUGAGCAGACAGGUCCACACCCGGUCCCAGAGGAAGGAGUAAGCUGUUGCUUCAAGUGUUAAAAGGGGGCUUGGGGGUGCCACGGCAUGGCAGGGGAAGCUGCCGCCUGUGCUGCUGACAUCCCAUACAGGCGCCAGUUUGUGUCCUGGCUGCUCCGCUUCUGAUCCAGCUCUCGCUAAUGGCCUGGGUAAAGCAGCAAAAGAUGGCCCAGGUCCUUGGGUCCUGCCACCUAUGUGGGAGACCUGGAAGAACCUCCUGGCUCCUGGCUUUGACCUGGCUGUGGUGGCCAUCUGGGGAGUAAAACAGUGGGUGGAAUCAAUCAAUCUCCCUCUCUCUCCCUCUCCUUCUCUGUAACUCUGGCUUUCAAAUAAAUAAAUUUUAAAAAGAGAAAAAGCAAGGGGGACAGACAAUUUGGAAAUAGAGAUGCUUGCCUCCUACGCUGGAGAACCUGGCUCUGGCUGCUGACUCCUGCUGUCUGGGAAGGCGCAAUGCCGGCACUUGGGCUCCUGCCACCUACAUGGGAAACCUGGGCUGAGUUCCCAGCUCCUGCCUUGGCCCUGCCCCUGCCAUUUCAGGGCAUCUGGAGACUGAAGCAGAGGAUGAAGUGCCCCUGCCUCCCGGUUCUCUCUUCCUCUGUAUUACUCUGUCUCUGAAGUAAAAAAUAAAUAAAUAAAAAGGAUGAGAGAGUGGAUCUGAGUCCUGCUCACAACUCCAUGCUCCUCAUAGGGAAACUGUCUAUCAUAGCAGGGAGCCAGGGCAGGUGUUGGCACACACAGGGGCUCCACGGGCUGCUGGCCUGCUCCCUGUGUCUGUAAGUGAUGAUGCCAAUGCCUGGCCCCAGCAGGUGCUUGUGAGUGGCAGGUGGUGUCAGUACCCAAGGGCAACAGCACCUCUGUGAACUGAGUGCCCAGGAGGGUACCUGUGGCCCUCAGUUGUUGACAAGGAACAAGAGGUUUGGUGCAGCAGCUGAAGCAGCCCACACCAGAGUGCCUGAGCCCGAGUUCUGCUGCACUGUUGAUCCCAGCUUCCUGCGAAUGUGCACCCCGGCAGGCGGCACGUAGCAGCUUACAUGGUCGGAUCCCUGCCACCCCAUGAAAGACCCACAUUGAGUUCUGGGCUCCUGGCUUCACCUGGCCCAGCCCUGGCUGCUGCCGGCAUUUGGGGAGGACCAUUGGCUGGGAGGUCUGCCUGUCUGCUUUCAAGACCCAGGUUCUGGCUGCUCUUGGACGCACACCUGUUGAAAGAUCUGCAAGCACAGCCAUCCAGAAGCAAUCCCGGGAUAACAAGAGUCCUUUCUCCUCCCCUGAUCCCGCAGCUCUCAUCCUCCGAGGGUGCUUGGCGACACUGCGUCUAGAUGCCCCAACAGGCUCACUUUCGAGGCGCUUCUCCAUGUCCUCACAAACCCAAGACGCUGGCUCUGCAGCAGCCCAGACCUUCGGAAGGCACUGUGGCACAAGGUCACCAAGUCUCUGUGGGUGGCCCCGUGGGUCCUCAGUCUGAGGCCACAGUGGGGGAAGGGUGCGUGUCGGAGGCCACCGGGUCAGAGCGUGCGGGUGGGGGGGGGCACCACGAGGACCUCUGGUGUCCUGGGAGAGGGAGCUGUUUUCAUCUACCCGUGAGCUUCACGAGCAGAGCGCAGCCUCACAUUUACACAGAGUGUGUUCAUGACACUGCGUACCCUCCCCACGUCUAAAGCAUCUGUUCCCUGUCACACGCUGGAGAUGACAAGGAGCACAGGACAAAGGCCCCGCUGGCACAGACGGCCCAGCACCCUGUGAACGAGGUGAGACGUGACUUGACCCACCGGUGCAGAGGAGCGGCACAGUUCUGCUCUCUGAAGGGUGGGCUUCCAGGGCACAGGCGUUUGCAUCCCUUGUGAGAGAGAACAGGCUGGGGCGGUCAGACACUUCCCUGAGGCAGAGGGAGGUGGGAACUGUGGUGAGCUGUCCCCUCAUUUCAGUCAGAGUUACAGAGAGAGGAAGACAGAGCUCUUCCUUCUACUAGUUCCCUCCCCAGAUGGCCUUGGUUGGGGCUGGGCCAGGCUGAAGCCAGGAUCCUGCGAUGCCACCCAGGUUUCUCACGUGAGUGGCAGGGGCCCAAGCACUUGGGUCAUCCUCUGCUGUCUCCUAGGCACAUCUGCAGGGAACAGGAUUGGAAGUGGAGCAGCUGGGAUUGAACCAGCACUGAGAGGGAUGCCAGCAUCACAGACAGCUUAACCCGCUGCACCACAAAGCCAGUCCCACCCCAGUGAUUUUUUUUUUUUUUUUGA